rnacentral:rRNA from 1 species
AGCUUGAUGUUUUAUUAUAUUAGGUUUCUUCUGCUCAAUGGCACCUAAAUAGCCGCAGUACACUGACUGUGCAAAGGUAGCAUAAUAAUUUGGCUUAUAAUUGAAGUCUGGUAUGAAUGAAAGCAUGGGGGUUAACUGUCUCAUUAAUAAUAACCAGAAAUUAUUAAGUAAGUGAAAAUACUUACGGUACUAUUAAAAGACGAGAAGACCCUAGAAAUUUCUACUAUAUUUUUUCUUACAUUUUUAUUGGGGCAAUAAAACGACACAUCAUUAACUCGUUUAUACAUACAGGAACCUUUAUUUGGUGAAAGCUAAAAUUACUCUAGGGAUAACAGCAUAAUUCUGUUUUUGUGUUUGUGACCUCGAUGUUGGACUAGGAAGCUUAAUAACCAGAAAUUAUUAAGAAAUGUUCUGUUCGAACAUUAUGUAUUCCUACAUG